rnacentral:rRNA from 1 species
CCUACGGGUGGCAGCAGUGGGGAAUAUUGGGCAAUGGGCGCAAGCCUGACCCAGCAACGCCGCGUGAAGGAAGAAGGCCCUCGGGUUGUAAACUUCUUUUAACAGGGACGAAGAAAGUGACGGUACCUGUUGAAUAAGCCACGGCUAACUACGUGCCAGCAGCCGCGGUAAUACGUAGGUGGCAAGCGUUAUCCGGAUUUACUGGGUGUAAAGGGCGUGUAGGCGGGAGGGCAAGUCAGACGUGAAAUCCAAGGGCUCAACCCUGGACCUGCGUUUGAAACUGUUUUUCUUGAGUUCUGGGGAGGCAGGCGGAAUGCCUGGUGUAGCGGUGAAAUGCGUAGAGAUAAGGAGGAACACCGGUGGCGAAGGCGGCCUGCUGGACAUCAACUGACGCUGAGGCGCGAAAGCGUGGGGAGCAAACAGGAUUAGAUACCCUGGUAGUC